GACGAACGCUGGCGGCGUGCUUAACACAUGCAAGUCGAACGGAAAGGCCCUGCUUUUGUGGGGUGCUCGAGUGGCGAACGGGUGAGUAACACGUGAGUAACAUGCCCUUGACUUUGGGAUAACUUCAGGAAACUGGGGCUACUACCGGAUAGGAGCUCCUGCUGCAUGGUGGGGGGUGGAAAGUUUCGGCGGGUGGGGAUGGACUCGCGGCUUAUCAGCUUGUUGGUGGGGUAGUGGCUUACCAAGGCUUUGACGGGUAGCCGACCUUGGAGGGUGACCGGCCACAUGGGGACUGCGAGAGGCCCCAGUCGCGUACGGUGGGCAGCGGUGGGAAAUAUUACACAGUGAGCGGAAGCGUAUUACGGCAGCGUCCCGGGCGGAAUGACGGCCUACGGGUGAGAAACCGAGUACGGUUGAGACGUAGCGUGAUUGACGGUAAUGGGUAAAGAAGCACCGGCUAACUACGUG
rnacentral:rRNA from 1 species